rnacentral:rRNA from 1 species
GACAGAGGGUGCAAACGUUGUUCGGAAUUACUGGGCGUAAAGCGCGUGUAGGCUGCUCUGCAAGUCGGAUGUGAAAGCCCUGGGCUCAACCUGAGGAAGUGCACUCGAAACUGCAGAGCUUGAGUCCUGGAGAGGAAGGCGGAAUUCUCGGUGUAGAGGUGAAAUUCGUAGAUAUCGAGAGGAACACCGGUGGCGAAGGCGGCCUUCUGGACAGUGACUGACGCUGAGACGCGAAAGCGUGGGGAGCAAACAGG